CGCGGGGUGGAGCAGUUGGUAGCUCGCCAGGCUCAUAACCUGGAGGUCAUCGGUUCGAGUCCGGUCCCCGCAA
rnacentral:tRNA from 1 species